GAUGAACGCUGGCUACAGGCUUAACACAUGCAAGUCGAGGGGAAACGACGGGGAAGCUUGCUUCCCCGGGCGUCGACCGGCGCACGGGUGAGUAACGCGUAUCCAACCUGCCUCUGACUGAGGGAUAACCCGUCGAAAGUCGGCCUAAUACCUCAUGGCAUCGUCUGCGGGCAUCCAACGACGAUUAAAGAUUUCAUCGGUCAGAGAUGGGGAUGCGUCUGAUUAGCUUGUUGGCGGGGUAACGGCCCACCAAGGCGACGAUCAGUAGGGGUUCUGAGAGGAAGGUCCCCCACAUUGGAACUGAGACACGGUCCAAACUCCUACGGGAGGCAGCAGUGAGGAAUAUUGGUCAAUGGGCGAGAGCCUGAACCAGCCAAGUAGCGUGCAGGAUGACGGCCCUAUGGGUUGUAAACUGCUUUUAUGCAGGGAUAAAGUGAGGGACGUGUCCUUCAUUGCAGGUACCGCAUGAAUAAGGACCGGCUAAUUCCGUG
rnacentral:rRNA from 1 species